GACGAACGCUGGCGGCGUGCUUAACACAUGCAAGUCGAGCGGAAAGGCCCUUUCGGGGGUACUCGAGCGGCGAACGGGUGAGUAACACGUGGGUAAUCUGCCCCUGGCUUUGGGAUAGCCACCGGAAACGGUGAUUAAUACCGGAUACGACCACUUCUCGCAUGGGAUGGUGGUGGAAAGUUUUUCGGCCAGGGAUGUGCUCGCGGCCUAUCAGCUUGAUGGUGAGGUAAUGGCUCACCAUGGCUUCGACGGGUAGCCGGCCUGAGAGGUUGACCGGGCACACUGGGACGGGGACACGGCCCAGACUCCUACGGGAGGCAGAAGGGGGGAAUAUUGGACAAUGGGCGGAAGCCUGAUCCAGCAACGCCGCGUGAGGGAUGACGGCCUUCGGGUUGUAAACCUCUUUCAGCAGGGACGAAGCUCAAGUGACGGUACCUGCAGAAGAAGCACCGGCCAACUACGUGCCAGCCGCCGCCGUAA
rnacentral:rRNA from 1 species